rnacentral:rRNA from 1 species
UGGGGAAUUUUGCGCAAUGGGCGAAAGCCUGACGCAGCAACGCCGCGUGAGUGAUGAAGGCUUUCGGGUCGUAAAGCUCUGUCAGUGGGAAAGAAGUGUAUUGUGGCUAAUAUCCACGAUACUUGACGGUACCCUCAAAG